CAGAUGGAAAUCUACCUGGGUACCUCAAGUCUACUUAGUUAAGACACCUUAUGGUUAACUGAGCUAAGACACGCACUUUUUCCAUGCAUGGUUCCCAACCGGGCUAUGCUAUUGACAUUUGGUUUCGCCUGUUUACACUUCUCAUCAACCGACACCGACACGACCGACCGACCGUCGUGGAAAAAGAAAAUAAAAAAUUCUGUUGUUGGUCGCAGGCCGCGAGUGACUCUUGAAUAUUAUUUGUUUAAAAUUGUUUAAAAGUGACUCAGGAUGGACGUCAAAUCUACGUCGUAGAUUAUCCGGAUGCAUUCCAAUGGUUUGUCGGAAUCAGCAGCUGCGGGCACCAGCCGAAUGCAAAAAAGGUGGUUCUGCACUCGGUAAAGGAGAUGUCGCCUGUACACUUUGUUCCUGCUAAAUUAUAAUUGUAUCGGAGGGUUGAAGUGUGCCGUCGCUUCUUUCGUCACUUGCACCGAGGUCAAAAAAGGUCAUCGAGAAGGCGGAGAAUACUUCAGCCCGGACGAAACAUUCUUGGUCGCCUUGGAGAGCAAUGCUGUUCUGGUAUUCAAGGUGCCGGAGGAGCUGAACGAUGUUUACAGUUGGCACCGGGAGUUGGAUAAAGGACAUCUAAAAUGACGUUAACACAACGAGGAUUUGAAGCGCAUUCGAAGGAUUUUACGGACACCAAGAGGAGGCCGAAAGGAAAUGAAAGGCGUUCUGCUAGGCUGCAUGACCAGGAUAAAACUUUGUAUAUUGAAU